CCCUUAGAUGUUCUGGGCCGCACGCGCGCUACACUGACGAAGUCAGCGAGCAUGUCCUACGCCGACAGGUGCGGGGAAUCUUGUCAAACUUCGUCGUGAUGGGGAUUGAUUAUUGAAAUUCUUGAUCAUCAACGAGGAAUUCCUAGUAAGCGCAAGUCAGCAGCUUGCGUUGAUUACGUCCCUGCCCUUUGUACACACCGCCCGUCGCUACUACCGAUUGAAUGGUUUAGUGAGGUCUUCGGAUUGGCGCCACUGCGGCUCAGCAAUGGGCUCGGUGGAUGCCGAAAAGUUGAUCAAACUUGAUCAUUUAGAGGAAGUAAAAGUCGUAACA
rnacentral:rRNA from 1 species